rnacentral:rRNA from 1 species
AGUGAACGCUGGCGGCAGGCCUAACACAUGCAAGUCGAACGGCAGCACAAGAGCGCUUGCUCUCUGGGUGGCGAGUGGCGGACGGGUGAGGAAUGCAUCGGAAUCUGCCCAUUUGUGGGGGAUAACCUCGGGAAACCGGGACUAAUACCGCAUACGACCUCCGGGUGAAAGCAGGGGAUCUUCGGACCUUUCGCAGAUGGAUGAGCCGAUGCCGGAUUAGCUAGUUGGAGGGGUAAAGGCCCACCAAGGCGACGAUCCGUAGCUGGUCUGAGAGGAUGAUCAGCCACACUGGGACUGAGACACGGCCCAGACUCCUACGGGAGGCAGCAGUGGGGAAUAUUGGACAAUGGGCGCAAGCCUGAUCCAGCCAUGCCGCGUGUGUGAAGAAGGCCUUCGGGUUGUAAAGCACUUUUGUUGGGAAAGAAAAGCAGCCGGUUAAUACCCGGUUGUCAUGACGGUACCCAAAGAAUAAGCACCGGCUAACUUCGUG